UGAGCAUCCCUUGAGGUGAGAUGGCAGCAGGUCCCUGGGAGGUGCUGGAGACAGACUUUGGACACCCUGAGGCCACCGAGGAGCUGCCUGGGCAGGCGGGGAGCGCUCAGAGGCGGCCAAGGAAGGACGGGAGAAAAGAUGCCGACGUGCCGGGGAUCAGCAAUGGGGCAAACGACAGGUCCCAUGGCCUAGAGGAGGAGAGGUCCCAACUUGGUGUCUCUGAGGAAGAUCAAGACAAGCGGGAGUCGAGCAUGCCGGAACCAGCGGCCCUCAGUGCGGACAAGAAAGCGGUGGAGAAGAAGCGUGGGGAGAAGCAGGGAGUGAAAGGCAGCGCCUCUGUGCCCCCAGUUCCCAAAAGCCUCCCCGUGAAGAGGAAAGUGGAGCCCGAAAGCCUCGACCCCGCAGAGGAGCCACUCAUCUGGGAAGGGCUCACCCUCAACAAAUGCAUCCUUGUGGCCUCCUUCAUUGCCCUGCUCAGCGUCAGCUUCCAAGUGCUCCAAGCGCCUUGCUCUAGGGAAGGAAUUAGCAGUGACAGACAGGCCCCUCCACCUCCGCCUCUUCACGAGGUCAUCGACACCGAAGAGGAUGUCCCAGAAGUGGUGGCUGCCCCACCGGUCCAGCCCAAGAGCAGCCUAUUUGAGGACAGUGACAGUGAGGAUGACAGAGACGAUGACAACGAUGCUGACAGCAACCUGGCUGAGCCGUGGAUCUUCAAGAAAUGGUUUGGCCGCUUGGAGCCAGAGGACAAAGAGGAAGAGCCCGAAACUGAACCCAAGGAGCCAGCAGCCAAGGUUGAGGUGAGAAAGGGCCGAGAGAAGCCCAAAGGCCCAGAGAGGAAAGAAGAGAAGCCCAAGGAAAGUCGUGCAGCCCAGACAGAGAGGAGCAGCCGGAAGGAUACACGACCCAAGGACAGAGCUCCUGAGGACAAGGCUGGCAGAGCCCCAAGGGCACCCAAGGAGCCAGAGCAACAGCCCUACAAGAAGCGGGGCCGGGAGGGCAAGGAGGGCAGGCGAGAAGGGAGGGAGCGAGAAGAGCACAGGAAGGAUGAGUGGAAGGGCCGCCCUGCCAAGGCUGACCGCGAGGACAACCGGAAGCGGGAGUGGAGGCAGCAGCGAGGAGAGCAGAAGGGCAAAAAGCCCUGGGAGCAUCACACGUCUGUCCCAGGGAAGGAUGGCACCGCCAGGCCUAAGGAAGGCAAGAGGCGUGACUGAGCCCCCGGCCCACAGGCUGGGAUGAACAAGGGGCUGAACAACACUAAAUCCAGAGACACGUGGACUCCAUCUAUCUGCCAAAAUCCCCAGCCACAGCCGUGCCUCCACUCCAUGCUUUGAGAGGAGCCAGCAGCUCAAGUGGUCGGAGCAUCAGGUGAAGAUGCCUGGGUCCUGUUUCCCAAUCAGCUGCCAGCUCACUGGGAGACCCUGCCCAACUCACAUCAAUUCUUUAUCCCUCCAUCUCCCCGUCCCCAAGCCAGUUGUCGCGGGCAGGUGCUCCUGGAUCUCUGAGCAGAAGCACUGGGCAGUUAGAGCAGCCUGGGAGCAAGGCACAAGCCUCCCUGUGGACUUUGGGCCCCCCUGGAUUAGAUGCAUAAAGGCAAGCUGAAAGGACUGGGGAAAUGAGCUUCUCUUCACUUGGGCUUCGUGCUAAUUCUCCAUCCCCACCAGAAAUACCUCUUGCCGUUCACUUUUGCUCUGCAAACCAGGCCCACCACACAGUACCCGAGACAUCAGGAUGGUACAGUCGGAAAGGAGCCGCCGUAGUGAUACCAGCAAACAGAGUUUGUCUGCAGACUGCUUUGCGUUUGAAUUCAAUUAAUUGUUUUAUUAAAAGCAAAUCAAAAGAGUUUAUUCUGGGUUAAAGAAGCCGGGCUGCUGCCAUCCUUGGAUGGACUUCAGGGAAACAAGCACAAAGAGCUAGCUGGGCCCUGGUGCCAUCACUGCAGGAUGAAGCGAAGCUUGCUAGAAACCAAACACCGCUGACACAGCCCAUCGCCCUGGGCUCCCUUUGGGACUUGCCUUUACAGAGUAGCUUAUAGGAACAAACCAGAAGUGCAAUAUCUCGCAGUGCUGUAGAAACUACAGGAGACGUUAACAGCCCCAAACCAUGGCAGAUUGCAGUAUUUACUACAUCUAUAGAGGUUAAAAAUAAACUAUUUUCAUUUUUAAUAAAGUAUUAAAUU
rnacentral:lncRNA from 1 species